rnacentral:rRNA from 1 species
GAUGAACGCUGGCGGCGUGCCUAAUACAUGCAAGUCGAGCGAACAGAUGAGGAGCUUGCUCCUCUGACGUUAGCGGCGGACGGGUGAGUAACACGUGGAUAACCUACCUAUAAGACUGGGAUAACUUCGGGAAACCGGAGCUAAUACCGGAUAAUAUAUUGAACCGCAUGGUUCAAUAGUGAAAGACGGUUUUGCUGUCACUUAUAGAUGGAUCCGCGCCGCAUUAGCUAGUUGGUAAGGUAACGGCUUACCUAGGCAACGAUGCGUAGCCGACCUGAGAGGGUGAUCGGCCACACUGGAACUGAGACACGGUCCAGACUCCUACGGGAGGCAGCAGUAGGGAAUCUUCCGCAAAGGGCGAAAGCCUGACGGAGCAACGCCGCGUGAGUGAUGAAGGUCUUCGGAUCGUAAAACUCUGUUAUUAGGGAAGAACAAAUGUGUAAGUAACUAUGCACGUCUUGACGGUACCUAAUCAGAAAGCCACGGCUAACUACGUG